GGAGGAGUGUAGCUUUCGAUCACUCCAGUCCUUCAGCAGCAUCAGGCUGGAAUCCUGUCUCCUUGCUCCUCCGUUUCUCCUUCUCCUUCAUAUAGACUCUUUCUUGAUGCUCGAGAAAGAGUUAGCAGAAAGGUGGCUGUACUCCAAUCCCAGAGUCAGACCUAGAGGAAAGAUCGCUAGAUGACGCCACAGAGCUGUUUACCAACCACAAGCACCUCAUCGCCGAGCCCCCCGUGCCUGAAGUCUCAGCCCUCCAAGGAGUUCUGGAGUAGUGCUAAGCAGUCGGGAGGAAGAGGCCCUUUCUGAGGCUGACCCUGUGUGGACACUGUGCUCCCAUCCCGGGACUGUGCCAAGCUCACCCCUGGAGGCGACUUCGUG
rnacentral:lncRNA from 1 species